rnacentral:snRNA from 1 species
AGAGUCACCUGGCAGGGGAGGUACCAUGAUCACCAAGGUGGUUUUCCCAGGGUGAGGCUGAUCCAUUGCACAAAGAUGCAGAGCCCUGGCAAAAUUUCCUCUGAUUCAGAGGAGGCUUUGAAUUUUACAGCCUCAC